AGAUUGCUCUUCAUAUCAGAGGAAGAAAUGAAUAAAGGGUAAACAACAAUUCUUUUCUUUUUUGCUUGCUGACCAACGGUGGAUUGAAUAAUAAGUGCAUGACUAUAUUUUAUUAUAACUAGUUUUUCUUUGUUUUCUCAUUAUUUUCCAUUAAAUUAUUUUCCUAGCCGGUUGAAUUGGUUCUUUGACAUGGUAUCAGAGUUUUGAUGACCAAGCGGUCACGAGUUUAAAUCUCAUCAUCCCUAUUUAUUUGUUAAAAAUUAAGCACAAGGUAGUGUAGAUCAAUUCAAAUUUCAAGCCUAAAUAGCUUUCACUUGAGUGGGCGUGUUAGAGAAUAAUAUAAAUUUCAAGCCUAACAACUUAAGCAUUUUGGGUGAAUUGGUUAUCUGACACUAGCUUUUCUUUCACUCAAAUAUGUCUGUUUUUAUUGUUGAAGAGAAGUAUAAUUUGUUUUGCUGCGUCUCUCACAUAUGUUGACUUAGAUCGUAAGUCUAUUUGCAUGCUAUAGUGUUUUUAUAACAAUUUGAGAUAAUAAGUGUGAUUCAUGCUCAAGUUCUUUAUCCAAAUCAUGCCCUUAUGACUUAGAUCAUAAGCCUCAGCCUCUGAAUGAUAACUCAGGACUUUGAAAUAGGAUGUGCCUCUGAAUGAUAACUCAGGACUUUGAAAUAGGAUGUGAUAUAUAUUGAUUUUAUAGUUUGAACUCGUAAAAUGGAUGAUGGCUUGCAACUUUACGCUAGAUAAUCUGAUUCAGAAACUUUGAACCAAGUUGAAGAAGGAGGAGAUCUCAUUUCAAUAAUCUAACAUUAUUAAAUUCCAUAAGAUAGCAUGUUUAUGCAUUAAAUAAAGGCAAUAUUCUUUUAUCCUUUUAGCCUG
rnacentral:lncRNA from 1 species